rnacentral:rRNA from 1 species
CACGUAGUUAGCCGGUGCUUAUUCUUCAGGUACCGUCAUUAGCAAAAGGUAUUAGCUUUCACCGUUUCUUCCCUGACAAAAGAGCUUUACAACCCGAAGGCCUUCUUCACUCACGCGGCAUUGCUGGAUCAGGCUUUCGCCCAUUGUCCAAAAUUCCCCACUGCUGCCUCCCGUAGGAGUCUGGACCGUGUCUCAGUUCCAGUGUGGCUGGUCGUCCUCUCAGACCAGCUACUGAUCGAUGCCUUGGUAGGCUUUUACCCUACCAACUAGCUAAUCAGAUAUCGGCCGCUCCACGAGCAUGAGGUCUUGCGAUCCCCCAUUUCAUCCUUAGAUCGUAUGCGGUAUUAGCGUAACUUUCGCUACGUUAUCCCCCACUCUAGGGUACGUUCCGAUAUAUUACUCACCCGUUCGCCACUCGCCACCAGAGCAAGCUCCGUGCUGCCGUUCGACUUGCAUGUGUAAGGCAUGCCGCAGCGUUCAAUCUGAGCCAGGA